rnacentral:rRNA from 1 species
AGUGAACGCUGGCGGUAGGCCUAACACAUGCCAGUCGAACGGCAGCACAGUAAGAGCUUGCUCUUACGGGUGGCGAGUGGCGGACGGGUGAGGAAUACAUCGGAAUCUACUUUUUCGUGGGGGAUAACGUAGGGAAACUUACGCUAAUACCGCAUACGACCUACGGGUGAAAGCAGGGGAUCUUCGGACCUUGCGCGAUUGAAUGAGCCGAUGUCGGAUUAGCUAGUUGGCGGGUAAAGGCCCACCAAGGCGACGAUCCGUAGCUGGUCUGAGAGGAUGAUCAGCCACACUGGAACUGAGACACGGUCCAGACUCCUACGGGAGGCAGCAGUGGGGAAUAUUGGACAAUGGGCGCAAGCCUGAUCCAGCCAUACCGCGUGGGUGAAGAAGGCCUUCGGGUUGUAAAGCCCUUUUGUUGGGAAAGAAAAGCAGCAGGUUAAUACCCCGCUGUUCUGACGGUACCCAAAGAAUAAGCACCGGCUAACUUCGUG